rnacentral:rRNA from 1 species
UGGGGAAUAUUGCACAAUGGGCGCAAGCCUGAUGCAGCCAUGCCGCGUGUAUGAAGAAGGCCUUCGGGUUGUAAAGUACUUUCAGCGAGGAGGAAGGCGUUGUGGUUAAUAACCGCAACGAUUGACGUUACUCGCAGAAGAAGCACCGGCUAACUCCGUGCCAGCAGCCGCGGUAAUACGGAGGGUGCAAGCGUUAAUCGGAAUUACUGGGCGUAAAGCGCACGCAGGCGGUUUGUCAAGUCGGAUGUGAAAUCCCCGGGCUCAACCUGGGAACGGCAUCCGAAACUGGCAGGCUAGAGUCUUGUAGAGGGGGGUAGAAUUCCAGGUGUAGCGGUGAAAUGCGUAGAGAUCGGGAGGAAUACCGGUGGCGAAGGCGGCCCCCUGGACAAAGACUGACGCUCAGGUGCGAAAGCGUGGGGAGCAAACA